GUGGGUUUCCAUGUGAAAUAGUGGAUUGUUUAGUAACGAUACGUUCUUUUGGCUUGAUGCACAUUAAUGUUAUGUAAACCGGAUCCACAUAAAUCAGCUUGCUACAUAAAUUCAUGUCAACUAAACUAUCAUGAAGUUUGGGAAGGUUGUAGGAAAUUAUCCCAAACUUUUAACCGUAUAGUGACAAUUUUGGGCCAAGCCCAAAUGCGAAGUAAACCCUAAAAACCUACAACAACUCAAUCGCCACUUUUCGAACUCUAUAUCUUUCUCUCAUUUCGCACUCUUUUAUUAUCUUCAGCAACAGUAUCCUGCCCUUAUUGUCCCUGAACUCACCAGCAAAUUGGAGGACACUAUGAAAAUGAUGUGUGUCUCUGAGGGCGAUGACCCCAGGCAUGAGCAGUACCAUCACCACCUCAGAGAUGUUCUUGGGUAAGCUUGUCCACUAAGGAGGUGGAUGAGCAGAUCAACGUCCAGAAUAAUUUGUCCUAGUUUCUUGAGUGGAGUCUGUACAAUGCGAAGUCGAGUGUGUUACAUGAUCUGUCCUCGUGGUUUGAGCUUGGCCUCAACGUUCAUUGGGAAUCCUACUUCAUUCCAGAAGUUAGGUGUUCAGGACUCAGGAGGGUGAGUAUGCAGUUCACAGCUAAUGUUCAGGAGAAAUGCUUUCUUGCUUUGGUACACUGGGAGAGGUAUGGAUGAGAUGGAGUUUGCUGAGAGCGUAACAUGGAUGAUCUUGUGUUUGAUGACCAGCACUAUCGUUGUAUCAGGAUGCUAUGCUGAUGAGGAAGAAGACCUGGAAGAGCAUGGAUGAAUUUGCGUAUGUUGAUGAUGUUUUCACCAGUUGAUGUUUGUAUGAACGAGGGGCGAGAUUGUGUGAGUGAGGUGGAAAGUAUUUGGUCUUUCUUAUAUCUUAUAGUCUUGAGAUUUUAGUAAUGGUUGAUAUUAUCAUGUUUUGAGGGAUGUUGCUAUGUACAAUCUUUUUUGUUUUGUUUUGAGGGAUGUUGCUAUGUGCAUCUUAUUUUCUGGGAUCUUAAUUGUUCUACAGCCAAUUGGUUGUUAACUGCCAUAUGCGAUGAUAUACUUCUUCUGUUCCAUAAUAAGUGAAACAUAGGAGGAGAGAGAAAAGCAAACCACACAAGUUUGUGAUGGUCACUCUUGUUAUUUUGUUACUUUUUUUUAUCCAUUUAAGGUAUGGUUUACUUAUUUUGAAACGUUCUAAAAUAGUAAGUGUUUCACUUGUUAUGAAA